UCCCUGGUGGCUCAGAUGGUAAAGUGUCUGCCUGCUAUGCGGGAGACCCGGGUUCGAUCCCUGGGUUGGGAA
rfam:TPA: Bos taurus chromosome 4, whole genome shotgun sequence.